CAUGAUUUUCUUGAAACUCUAUGGAACAGAGUUGAAGAGACCUCUAGAACUCUCAUCCAUGGUAUUCUUCAAUGCGCUGUGGGAUUCCAUCAUCUCCUCAAUCAGGUUCCAGGGUAUAAUACAUUGAGGCGAAAUCUUCUACUUCUUUCUCCUCGCUUAGCCAACCUGCCUAAAGAAGUGAAAAUGGAACUUAAAGAUCGUCAUAGCAGAUAAGACUGUAGUGGUUUCAAGAUCUCGCUUGACAUUGACUAGCUUACUCAUUUGAAA